GGCGAUCAGAUACCGCCCUAGUUUUGACCGUAAACGAUGCCAAUUAGCGAUCCCGCCNGGCNGGAUUCAUUCGCCCUGGUGGGGAGCUUCCCGGAAACGAAAAGUCUUCCGGUUCCGGGGGAAGUAUGGUUGCAAAGCUGAAACUUAAAGGAAUUGACGGAAGGGCACCACCAGGAUGUGGAGCUUGCGGCUUAAUUUGACUCAACACGGGGAAACUCACCCGGCCCGGACACCGUAAGGAUUGACAGAUUGAUAGCUUUUUCAUGAUUCGGUGGAUGGUGGUGCAUGAGCCGUUCUUAGUUCGUGGAGCGAUUUGUCUGGUUUAUUCCGAUAACGAGCGAGACUCUGGCCUACUAAAUAGUUGGCACAUUGCCACUGUGUGCCCAACUUCUUAGAGGGAUUUUCGGUGUUCAGCCGCACGAAAUUGAGCAAUAACAGGUCUGUGAUACCCUUAGAUGUCCGGGGCUGCACGCGCGCUACACUGGCAAAAUCAGCGUGCCUGUCCUCCCCCGAAAGGGGUUGGUAAACCGAUGAAAAUUUGCCGUGAUUGGGAUCGGACAUUGCAAUUAUUGUCCGUGAACGAGGAAUCCCUUGUAAGGGCGAGUCAUCAACUCGUCCUGAAUACGUCCCUGCCCUUUGUAA
rnacentral:rRNA from 1 species